AAUUAGAAAACUGGCAACAACAUUUCAAUUUUUGUUGGACCUCUGGAUGCCACGGCUUGAGAUGCGCUGAUGGUCUUCACGGAAGCAGCAUUCUCAUUUCUUCGGUGAGCUUGGAUAGAAUUGGCAAAGGGGGCCCAUGGGACGUUAAUAAGGAAUAUGGCACACUACAUUGAAGGGAGGAUUAUUUACAUCUGGAAGGAGCACGCUGGAGAGGCAUAAGAGGCAGCUGCCACUUACUUGAUUUCACCUUUUAGUUUUUUAAUGUUUUUCUUUUAGAGGAUGAGAUCUGGAAUAGGGUAGGUGCGCUGGUGACAUGGAGCUCAUGAGGCAGACAAUGAUGUUUCUCUUUUGGAUAAGCGUUUUCAAUUUGGAGAAUUGGCAUUUUAUUUAUUCUACACUUUGUCACGGCUUGAAGCAUGCUCUUACAUUUUUUUUAAUUCCAUAAGCACAUUUUCAUUUCCUUUGAUGAAGCGUUGAUUUAUUUUUGGAGUAGUGUAGCACGAUGAAUAAAUAUUAGAUUAAAGAAGCACACAGGUGCAUGUGUUUUAUUUUAAUUGUUUUCUUGAUGCAU
rnacentral:lncRNA from 1 species